rnacentral:rRNA from 1 species
UACGUAGGGGGCAAGCGUUGUCCGGAUUUACUGGGCGUAAAGGGUGCGUAGGCGGCCUAGCAAGUCAGAAGUUAAAGCCCUCGGCUCAACCGAGGUAAGCUUUUGAAACUGUUAGGCUUGAGUACAGGAGAGGAGAGUGGAAUUCCUAGUGUAGCGGUGAAAUGCGUAGAUAUUAGGGGGAACACCAGUGGCGAAGGCGACUCUCUGGACUGUAACUGACGCUGAGGCACGAAAGCGUGGGGAGCGAACAGGAUUAGAUACCCUGGUAGUCCACGCCGUAAACGAUGAGUACUAGGUGUCGGGGUCGACAGGCUUCGGUGCCGCAGUUAACACAUUAAGUACUCCGCCUGGGGAGUACGGUCGCAAGACUGAA